GGUCUCUGCCAACCCAGCAAAUCCGAGGGCGCUUCUCUCCCGCGGCGGCUUAUAUAUCCCCGCCGAGCCCCGGGGCCGGCCUUCCUCCCGGCCCCCAUUGGGCUGCUGCUUGAGUCGGGCCCCACUCUGCGCUCUUCUCACUGGGCCGGGCCCCCAAAGAAAUCCGCCCCUCACUUCCUAACUGGGCAGCCGCUCACGGAAUAUCCCCGCCGGAGAUGCUCAUUGGGCAAUUUGUAAUAGGGAGAAGGCGAUCGUGUUUCUCCAGACCAAGCAACUGGGAUUAUUUGCCCAGAGACACAUGGCAGUAAGCAUUAAGAAUCUGAAGCUGGAUUUGAACUCCAAGACCCCCGAGUUGUCCCAAGAGGCUGCUUUAAACCUUACUUUAUAAAUUACUUAAGAGAAGGUACCAUGGGC